rfam:Pteropus alecto contig61404, whole genome shotgun sequence.
GUCUAUGGCCAUGCCACCCUGAAUAAGCUCGAUGUCUGAUCUCAGAAGCUAAGCAGGGUUGGACCUGGUUAGUACUUGGAUGGGAUACCACCCAGGAAGAUCAGGUGCUGUAGGUG